rnacentral:rRNA from 1 species
GAUGAACGCUGGCGGCGUGCCUAAUACAUGCAAGUCGAGCGAACAGACGAGGAGCUUGCUCCUCUGACGUUAGCGGCGGACGGGUGAGUAAAACGUGGAUAACCUACCUAUAAGACUGGGAUAACUUCGGGAAACCGGAGCUAAUACCGGAUAAUAUAUUGAACCGCAUGGUUCAAUAGUGAAAGACGGUUUUGCUGUCACUUAUAGGUGGACCCGGGCCGCAUUAGCUAGUUGGUAAGGUAACGGCUUCCCAAGGCAACGAUGCGUGGCCGCCCUGGAGGGGGGAUCGGCCCAACUGGACUUGGGAACCGCCCCAGCCUCCUAGGGGAGGCAGAAGUAGGGAAUCUUCGGCAAUGGGCGAAAGCUUGACGGAGAAACGCCGCGGGAGUGAUGAAGGUCUUCGGAUCGUAAACCUCUGUUAUUAGGGAAGAACAAAUGUGUAAGUAACUAUGCAAGUCUUGACGGUACCGAACAAGAAAGCCCCGGCUACUUACGU